rnacentral:rRNA from 1 species
AGAGGGUGACCGGCCACAUUGGGACUGAGACACGGCCCAAACUCUUACCGGAGGCAGCAAUGGGGAAUAUUGCACAAUGGGGGAACCCCUGAUGCAGCGACGCCGCUGAGCGAUGAAGUAUUUCGGUAUGUAAACCUCUAUCAGCAGGGAAGAAAAUGACGGUACCCUGACUAAGAAGCACCGGCUAAAUACGUGCCAGCAGCCGC